rnacentral:lncRNA from 1 species
GCAUAUUCUUUUCAAGUUUAUGUCUUUGUGUGUUUUACGGAGGUAUACGAGCUUUAGUAUAUAUAAACGUAUGUAUGUGUAAACCAUAAAUAGUAAAACUAUAUUUAUAAAUAGUAAUAAAUAAUAUUCUUCCUUAUAUAUAUCUAGAUACAUAAAAUAAAGCCUAAAAAAAUUAUAAAAGAUCUUUACCAUAUAAUAAAAAAAUAUUUAUCGUAAGUAUCAUUCUUUCCCUGCAGGAUAAGAUAAUUUUCAGCCACAAGUAAAUCACUUCUUUCAAGGAGAAGGUGCAGCCGAAGUACAACCACAACCACAACCACAUUUUAUGGACACUAUGCAGCUGAACUUGAAUUUGAUAAUCCAGGUUAUCCAGUUGAUGGGAAUGUUGACAUGGAUUUUGAGUUGUUUCGGGGGAUGGUAAUCGGAGAAGGCUCUAACAGUGAGAUGGAAGAAUCGAGGAAUCUUUACCAAAUGGUUGGUGGAGAUAGUAACUAUAAUGAAAAUUCGGAUGACGAGUAGUGUACCGGCUAUCCUCCAACUUGAAUCUUACAU